GAACACAUUUGAAUUUAUAAUAGAGAAAUAGAUUUUUAAUGUAGGCUUUAUACUAGGUAACUAUAAGACUCCUUCCUAUUCUAUCAAGGAUUCUAAAUUUUGUAAGUACUUUGUGAGACAUAUUAGUGCAAAAAGAUAGAAUAUGAAUACUGAAUAAUGCGUAAGAAUUUUAACCACAGAAAGUAUGACAAGUUUUUAAGUCUUGCUAAAUUCACAGAACUAUUUUUUUUUCCAUUGGAUAUACGAUAUUAUAAAAAAAUUAUAGCGAUUACUUUCUACUAGUAAUUCAGAAGGUAUCCUAAUUACCAUAUAUUAACAUUUUAAACUGCAAGCCAAGAUUAGGGUGAUUUAAAAACCUACUUAAAAUUAAAAAUGAAAAAGUUUUGUUCCAUGCUAAUUAGUCAAUGAGGAUAUUAUCACAAUGUUUUGGUGGGUACUCAAGAAUUAAAAUAUGGUAAAAUGUUUUAAAUCACAUUCUCUACACUUUAUUUGCAAAUUGCUUUGUUUUUUUAUGCAGUGGCAAAAUGCAAAUGUUUCUCAUAGGAACUUUCAUAUUCAUAGCCAUAAAAAUGUUCUCAAAUCCCAUGAGAUUUAUCAUGAACAUUAAACUUGCCUUAUUAUUUUUUAGGUCAGUGUAACCAAAGAGGGAGCUUUUAAAAUAACACCAUGCUUUCAGGGGAAGUUUUAAUUUCAUCAUUUUUAUUAAGUCAAAUACUAUCAAAAGCAAGACAAAAUAACUAUAGCUUUCAAUUUUCAUGUAAUGAAUAUAUUUUUGAAAGUAAUUAGUGCAAUCCCCAAACAGAGAGAAUGAUUUAAAAUGAUAAUGUGAAAUAAUUUUACUUUCAUGAUCCUAUAUUGCUCUUUUAGUGUUAACAUUUUAGUUUAAAUUCUUGAACAAAAUUCAUUUGCUGUGCUUGUUUUGUAGCUGUUCUUUCCCUGGGGGAUUUUUCAGAAUAUUGCAUCAGCUUGUGUUUUCCAGGUUCUCAUUUCUGAAUUUGAAAAGAGGCUCCCAAAGAGAUUAUAGCUAAGUAAGAUCUCAUUAUUUAUAUAUAUUUUGUUUGAAUAAAUGCCCUAGGAUUUGAAGCUAUCAUCAGCUCUUUUCUGACCCCAAUUAUUAAGAUAGUUCAGUAUUUUUCAGAGUCAUCAUUGCAACUAAAAGAGAAAUAAUAGUUUUAAAAAGGCACACCUAACAUCAGAAAUGCAACUGAUUUAAUCUUCACUGGAACUGUAAUUAAAAUAUAAUAAUAAUGACUGUGCAUAUACAUUAUUUCUAUUUAUUUAAAGUACCUGGAGUAUUUUAGUACUUGAUUUUUUUAAAAUAAUAUUCUAAUUAGACAUUAGCACAAAUGAAUUACUCUCCUACAGGUGUUCCAUAGACACGUUCUAUAUAGAGAUGCCUGUGUCUACAGUUUUCAGAUUGUCAAUGAUGAGAGUAAGACAGCAUAUUACAAAGGAAACACUGCUCUCUUCAUCUCUGAAACCACCCCUAUUUAAUUAAUUAAGAUUUCAUACAUUUUUAAUUUUUUUUUUCUUUUCUCUUCUUUUUCUUUUUAGGGCCGCAACUAUGGCAUGUGGAAGUUCCCAGGCUAGGGGGUCAAAUCGAAGCUGCAGCUGCCAGCCUAAUCCCCAGCCACAGCAACGCUGGAUCUUUAACCCAUUGAGUGAGGCCAGGGAUCGAACCUGUGUCCUCAUGGAUACGAGUCGGGUUCAUUGCCACUGAGCCACAAUGGGAAUUCCUCAUACGUUUUUUAAUUAUCUAGGUUUUCUUAGAACUACCAUAUCUGAGAUGUUUUAAAAAUUAAGGUGUUAAAAUUUUUAUUUCCAUUGUGGACUGGAUUAUAAUAUUUUAGAUUAGUUCUAUUUAAAGAAAGGUGAGUGUGUUUGGGUGUGUGUGUAUGUGUGUGUUAACUGUGGUUUGGGGCAACAUUCAGGAGUUCACCCAAAUAUUGAUUUUUCAAACUGUGUGUUAUAAAGCAGUAGUGAGGAAUUCCCGUCUUUCCUCAGUGGUUAUCAAACCUGACUAGUAUCUAUGAGGAUGCGGGUUUGAUCCCUGGCCUUGCUCAGUGGGCGAAGGAUCCAGUGUUGCCGUGAGUAUGGUGUAGGUCACAGAUGUGGCUCGGAUCCCACGUUGCUGUGUCUGGUGUAGUCUGGCAGCUGCAGCUCAGAUUCAAUCCCUAGCCUGGGAACUUCCAUAUGCUGCAUGUGUGGCCCUACAAAAAAAAAAAAAAGACAAAAGACAAAAAAAAAAAAAAGCAGCAGUGAUUUAUAUUAAAAUUAUAUUUGAAACAUAGUUUUUCAGUGAAAAUUGCAAAACCUGGAAAAUCAUUCACAAUUUCCCUGGGUUGAUGCUAUGACUUCUGGCCAAUUCAAAAUUGAGUGAUUUGAAGAGAGAUAUUAUGAACAUCAGAUGGCCAGAAUUUAGGAAGAAACUUAUUUCAUCCACAGUCCUAUAGCUCAUCAAAUUUUGUCAUACUCCCCCUUCUAUUCUGAUAAUAACAGAAGCUUUGUCUCACUUUAGAAAUUUCUGCGUUAGGUUUUCUUCAUAAGGUGUAAGUGAGGAGGAUUCCCUUGGGAUUGCAUCCCUUUGAGGGCAAAGGCAGUGUCAGCUGAUCUCACACGGGAACAUGUGCUGCCACAGACACUGACAAGGAUUCUGGCUGAGAACCUGUUUGAUUUUUCUGAAAAAACAAGCUUUUUUUGUAGGCUGCCCA
rnacentral:lncRNA from 1 species